rnacentral:miRNA from 1 species
ACCCUCAUUGACGGAAGGGAUUCCUUCCGUCGAUGAGGUGAAGCACCCUCAUCGACGGAAGGGAUUCCUUCCGUCGAUGAGGUA